AGCUCCAAUAGCGUAUAUUAAAGUUGCUGCAGUUAAAAAGCUCGUAGUUGGAUUUGUGGCGCGGCCGUCCGGCGGGGGUCCUUCUAUGGUCUCGUUUGUCCUGGUUUUCGGCCGCUCCUUUCUCGGGUAGAGCGUAAUGGCUGGCAUUAGGUUGUCGGCCGCUUCGCGCCCGUCGUUUACUGUGAAAAAAUUAGAGUGCUCAAAGCAGGCGUAUCAGCCUGAAUAAUGGUGCAUGGAAUAAUGGAAUAGGACCUUGGUUCUAUUUUGUUGGUUUCUGAACUCAAGGUAAUGAUUAAGAGGGACAGACGGGGGCAUUCGUAUGGCUGCGUUAGAGGUGAAAUUCUUGGAUCGUAGCCAGACGAACUACUGCGAAAGCAUUUGCCAAGAAUGUUUUCAUUAA
rnacentral:rRNA from 1 species